rnacentral:rRNA from 1 species
AUUGAACGCUGGCGGCAUGCUUUACACAUGCAAGUCGAACGGCAGCGCGGGCUUCGGCCUGGCGGCGAGUGGCGAACGGGUGAGUAUUACAUCGGAACGUGCCCAGUAGUGGGGGAUAGCUCGGCGAAAGCCGGAUUAAUACCGCAUACGACCUGAGGGUGAAAGCGGGGGAUCUUCGGACCUCGCGCUAUUGGAGCGGCCGAUGGCAGAUUAGCUAGUUGGUGGGGUAAAGGCCUACCAAGGCGACGAUCUGUAGCUGGUCUGAGAGGACGACCAGCCACACUGGGACUGAGACACGGCCCAGACUCCUACGGGAGGCAGCAGUGGGGAAUUUUGGACAAUGGGCGAAAGCCUGAUCCAGCAAUGCCGCGUGUGUGAUGAAGGCCUUCGGGUUGUAAAGCACUUUUGGCGGGAACGAAAAGGACUGUGCCAAUACCACGGUUCGAUGACGGUACCCGAAGAAUAAGCACCGGCUAACUACGUG